UACAGAGGUCCCAAGCGUUGUUCGGAUUCACUGGGCGUAAAGGGUGCGUAGGUGGUCUGUUAAGUCAGUGGUGAAAUCCCGCGGCCCAACCGUGGAACUGCCAUCGAUACUGGCGGACUUGAGUGCGUGAGGGGUUACCGGAACGAGCAGUGUAGCGGUGAAAUGCGUAGAUAUUGCUCGGAAGGCCAGAGGCGAAAGGCGGGGUAACUGGCACGCAACUGACACUGAGGCACGAAAAGCGUGGGGAGCAAACAGG
rnacentral:rRNA from 1 species